GGGGGCGUAAAGGUUUCGACAGGGAUUUUGAAGUACGAUAAGCGAGUAGCGGUCGUGGGCACGCUUUAAAAACCACAACUUAUAAAUUAAACAACAAUAAAACUGUUGCUUACGCAGCCUAAUUAGGCUGCCGUCUGACCAAAGAGUACCGCGGCUUUGCAAAGGCGUCGAUCAGCGGUGAACGUGAGUUAGGGCUCGGCUCAUCCCUUUCCAUGAUUUUUGAGCCUUACGGACUUAUACGUUUGAUAAUUGUCGUAUAACAACGGAAUUUGAACAAUUAUCUACACUCGAAGAAAGUUGUAUGGACAAAUUUUUGGACAGGGGUUCGACUCCCCUCGCCUCCACCA
rnacentral:tmRNA from 1 species